CUUUAGAAUAUUUUCAUCUCCCUGAAAAGCAGCCUUGGGCCUCUUAGCCAUAUUUUCAUAGUCCCUCUGUUCUUUCCAUUCCUAGGCAACUACUAAUUUAAUUCCUGAAUUAGAUUUUUAAUUCCAGAAUAGAUUUAAAUUCUGAAAUGUUUUUUUUAUAAGUGGGAUCAUACAAUAUAUGGUCCUUUGUGACUAGCUUCUUUGACUUGGUAUAGUAAGUCUGCUUUAAUUCCUGCACAUUGAUUAUGUUGCCCAGUUGAUAUUGAGAACCUCAGUCCUAUGUUAUUGUCAGUUGGGUUUAGAUUUUGUGAUCUGUUCAGUUUUUCUCUGCACUUAAUAUUCUAGAAAUAUGCCUCCAAAAAAGCAAAUGGUGCUUCUAAAAUAGAUGAAAGUUAAUGUGACUAAUUUAAACGGUAAAGUGAAAUUUAAAGUGGAUUGAAAGGUGGCAUGUCUUUAGUUGUGUGGCAUUAUGGGAAAAAUGAAUCAAACAUACAUGGUACAAGACUGAACCCUCUGCAUCCUGAACAUUUUGCAGUUUUUCCUCAGUGUAGGUCUCCUUGGAACCUUAACGUCUAUAGGUAUCACAGGGCUGCAACUGAUGCAUGUUGUAUUGUUUUAUUGCCAAAUAAGAUUCUACUGAAUGAAUACACUGCAUUUGUAUUUGUUAAGUGAUUAGCAUUUGGGUUGUUUUCACUUUGGGGCUAUUGUGAGAAUUAUUGUUAUGAACAUUCAUGGUCAAGUUUUUGUGUGUUCUGUGUAUCUCUUUUCCUCUAGCAUACUGUAUGAUUUUUUUGUUGUUUUACUGUUUCAAUGCAUAGUGCUUAAAACUACUUCUUUGAGUCUGUGAACAGGCUAUUGUGUGCUGGGCUUACCUUGACUGUGCUUAGUGUUCUAUGUAGUUGUCUGUUCUAGGAUGGCCUUCAUUGGCAAAACUUGGUUCUACUAGGCUAGCACAGGCAUGUUUUUAUAGAACAGAGGCAAAAGAGCACACAAGUUCAGUUGUGCAAGAUGGUGAGAAUCAUGUUUGCUUUUCAAGUCUCUUCUUGGGUCAUAUUUGCUAAUACCAUGUUGUAAAAUACCACAAGAACAAGCCAUUUGGAGAAGCUCAGAGUUAGAAAGAAAGAAGACUACAAAUUAAAGGGCAAAAUGUGCCCAUUGGGAAGCUAUAUUGAGGUCAUUAAUACAGUUAAUUUUUCAUACACUAAAAUCUUGUUGCAAUCUGAUGUCUUUGGUAUUUGCUUUUCCCAUUUGUAUUAGUUACUUCUUUCUUGCCUGCAUGGUGAGCUCACUUGCGUUCCUUUACAUCUAUGUGUAUAUAUCAUAUGCACAGUGAGAGCCUCAAAUUUGAUUUUACUACAGAAUUAAUUGCCACCACCUCCUAUCCUUCUCAGCAGUUCUGUUUUUCUUUGUAACCUUUAAUCACCAUCUUACACGUGUUCUGUUUGUUUAGUGCUUGUCUUUCAACCAGAAAGUGUGCUUCAUGAAGUGAGGGACUGUUGUUUAAUUUAGCAUCUUCAUUGCCUAGAAAGGUAGCACUCAUUAAAUAUUUGCUGAAUGAAAGAAUGAAUCUACACUUAUCUACUUUUGCCUAAAUUCAAAUCUGCUUUCAUAUUGUGCAGUGUAAAUUGCAGCUGUACUUGGUUAGCACACCUAACGAUAGAAUAUUUCUCAUGGACCCACACAUAGGCUCUGAAAUAAGAGUUAUGCUACCACUUAUUUGUUGUUUAACACAAUUCACUUCUUCUUUACCUCCCUGAUUUCUCAUCUGUGAAAUUGGGCUCUAACUUUACCGAGUUGAUGAGAGGAGAUGAAUGAGGUGUAAACAGUGCUCAAUACAAACUAUAGGACUAGUAUAACACGUAUUGCAUAAUAUUCCUAGCAACUACUUGUUAUUGGAGUAUAUGGAAUAGGUAAGAUGGAAUUGAAAGCUGGAGAGAUUGUUUAUUAGUGAAGACAUUGCAGAAUCUUUGAAAACUGUUUUUUGAAAGGAGAAUAGGCCAUGAAAUGCUAAGGAAUGACUAUGAAAAAGUAAAUACCUUUGACUUGUUAACCCUUCUCCUUCAUUAUAUUGGGCUGUUAAAAUAGCAACUACCCACCAUCUCUGCCUGUACCUAGACCAUUGAAGAUGUCGCAUUUAAUUUAUGCCAAAACCUGAACAGAACAUCAACAAUGUCUGACAGUGCAGAUGCUUCUACACUUCUCCCAUUGAAUACAUUUACUCACUGAAAACCGCCUACAGCUUCCACUCCAAUCUAUGUACUUCACUUCAAACUUUACAGAGAAAUUAUACAACUGAAAUAAUGCAUAGUGGUGCAUGCCUGUAAUCUCACCUUGGGAAGCUAAGGCAGGAAUAUUGAGCAUUCACAGCCAACCAGGGGCUACAUACUCAGAACCUGCAUUU